rnacentral:rRNA from 1 species
UACGUAGGGUGCGAGCGUUAAUCGGAAUUACUGGGCGUAAAGCGUGCGCAGGCGGUUCGUUAUGUCCGAUGUGAAAGCCCCGAGCUUAACUUGGGAAUGGCAUUGGAAACUGGCGGGCUGGAGUGCGGCAGAGGGGGGUGGAAUUCCACGUGUAGCAGUGAAAUGCGUAGAGAUGUGGAGGAACACCGAUGGCGAAGGCAGCCCCCUGGGCCGACACUGACGCUCAGGCACGAAAGCGUGGGGAGCAAACGGG